AGGCAGUUAGUUUAAUAAAAACAUUUGAUUUCGGCUCAAAAACUCGUGGUUUAAACCCAUGACCGCCCA
rnacentral:tRNA from 1 species